rnacentral:rRNA from 1 species
AGAGUUUGAUCAUGGCUCAGAUUGAACGCUGGCGGCAGGCUUAACACAUGCAAGUCGAGCGGUAACAGGGGGUGCUUGCACCCCGCUGACGAGCGGCGGACGGGUGAGUAAUGCCUAAGAAUCUGCCUAGUGGUGGGGGAUAGCCCGGGGAAACUCGGAUUAAUACCGCAUACGCCCUACGGGGGAAAGCGGGGGAUCUUCGGACCUCGCGCCAUUAGAUGAGCUUAGGUCAGAUUAGCUAGUUGGUGAGGUAAUGGCUCACCAAGGCGACGAUCUGUAGCUGGUCUGAGAGGAUGAUCAGCCACACUGGGACUGAGACACGGCCCAGACUCCUACGGGAGGCAGCAGUGGGGAAUAUUGGACAAUGGGCGAAAGCCUGAUCCAGCCAUGCCGCGUGUGUGAAGAAGGCCCUAGGGUUGUAAAGCACUUUAAGCUGGGAAGAUGGUGCGUGUGACUAAUACUCACAUGUAUAGACGGUACCAGCAGAAUAAGCACCGGCUAACUCCGUGCCAGCAGCCGCGGUAAUAC